rnacentral:piRNA from 1 species
UACACACAGCAGAUGUGCAGCUUGGUC